CUCUUACUUUGAGUCAUUAGACGGUACUUUUCCCUUAAGAAAAACUUUGCAAAUAGGUUCGCAACCAAAGCUAGGGAGAAAAAUCAUGACAAAUUGUCAGAUUCUAAAUUUAUCCCGUCGUAAAAAACAUCAAGAUUUAUAGACAAAUUCUGACGGAUUGUUAGAAGUCCAGCAACAAAUUCUGAAAAUUUUCAAACUAGUGCGAAACAUGUUUAUCCCAAAUCCUGACGAAUCAUCGGGAUUUGUGAUCAAGUUCUAAUGAAUCGCCGGGGAUUGAUAAUAUUAGCUCAAUUACAUACUCAAUUUCAACCAUAAAUAAAUAAAUAACGAGUCUUCAAUUUUCUACAACAUAUUGAAGGAGGAGGAGAAGAAAAGGAAGAAUGGAGAAGAUUUUGGCAGAAUGCGAUUCUUGCACAAAUUCGGAUAAAUAAAUGUAUAUCGGUCGCGAUCCUGUAAAAAACAGUCAAACGCUUCGAGAAACGGCAGCAGUUGACUUGUUAUUUUUUCUACUAUUCGAGUGAAAUAUUAUUAUUAUAGAGGUCUAACUGUAAUUGUCUAUUAUAUGAACAUUGGCCCGUGCUUAGCGUGAAUACUCUACUACCUAAGAGAGGAUAAGCAGGCAUCUCAGGUAUUUCUUGGAUAGUGAUGAAAACCAUCUCACCUUACAUGAAUGGAUUUUCAAAGGAGAUAGCUUCAUAAUAGACGCGUAUGAGAGAGGAACUGUGUUCAUAGUACAACUGAGUUUUCUGAUUGGCUAAUUCAUGUUUACAGGAAUGAGUAUAUCUCACUUUUAUGGUAAAUCUGAACCUUCGGCUUAUAGCUGAAACAUACGAUUGAGGAAUGACGAUGAUGGAUGCCUAGGCGAUUGUGAAGGAACUGAGGGUGACGUAUCGCGAGUGGGAAGAUGAAGGGAGAAUGGCGGAAUUGAAAGCUCUGUUGAAGAUUGUUGAGCUUCACGAGAAGGAUAUCAUCAAUCUCUGAAUACCAACUGCAGAGGAUAAACGGACUAAUGGCUUAUGAGGAAAAGAACAAGCAUCCCUGCUCAACAAAUAGAGCUGCUGAAAUGAAGCUUAGGCGACAUGAAAUGUAUAAACUGAUAUCUGUUGAAAAAAAGGAAGCGCUACUACUACAACGACGAAUGAAAAGACAAGAGGUGAAAAUAAAUGCUUUUUUUGAGGCUGCAGCUUCUUCCGUGCCAGCUCAAUGUGCGCCUUACUUUCAAGCCUGCUGCCUUGCAUCUCAACAACUAAACUUCCAUCCAGGGGACUUUGCUUCUGUUUCUGCAACAGGUCAUACCUUUAAACUUUUCUUGAUUCCUACGUAUGAUUAUAAUUAAAUGACACUAAAUGUGUGUUCUACCACACGUGUUAGCCAAUAAAUCUCAGCCUGUGGCUUUGCCUCUUGCCUCUGACAAGCAAAAGAGUGUAACACCUUCGUUCUGUGUGUAUGAUGUCGAUAAGUACCGCAGCUAAAAUACUGCAUUUUUUCUUUUAUGAUACAAUUACUAGAUCAAACUAACUUACUAACUUUUGACAUUAGGCUCGACAUAAGGUGCGUCUAACUCAAAAUGUGAUAUGAGUUGAAGGAUUAUUGAAAACAAAGAUCACAGACAACGCAGAACAGGCUGUGUAAACAUAGCUGACCUGCAAUUGGGCUACAUGCCUCUGAAGAUUGUCCCUAAUUGUAAAUUUUGCGGUGCAAAAAAGGUUUGAAUAUGAGUUACCUGGAUUUUCUUGCGGCAAGGGUUCAAUCAAGUUAGUUUCUGAUCUGGUAACUGCUGAACUACACAAUCUAUAUGUAGGCUGCACUGAAGAAUCUGAACAUUUUCGCACAUACAGGACACAGUGUUAUCAAAGGCGCGCUUUAAGCGCGCUUAAGCCCUGAAGCGAGGCUGAAAAAAUGUUGAGCGCUUCGCCUCGCUUUAUGUGCGCUUCAGUGUCGUCAUCAAGGCUCUAAAACAUACUUUUCCUUGCCAAUGAGCCUCUCUUGAGGAGGCGACACUAGAUGAUUGAUAUUUCACUUUAUCUUAAUAUUUUUACAAUUUCUUUGUCCAUAUAUUUGUUAUUCAUGCUUAUUAUUAUUAAUCUUGGACUAAACAUAUAUAUAUUUGUAUUUUUGCACCAUUGCGCUUUUUUUCAUUAAAGCCCACGCUUUAUAUGCGCUUCGCAGUGGAAGUCUCAUUCAUUUCACUAUAUCCAAUGGGUUGGUUGUCCUGAGUUGGGUUGAUUGGUUGCUGGUAAACACAAUUUUCAGGCCAUCACAGAUGAUUGGGUUCUAGAAGAGGACUUUGGCAAUGAACAAACUGAGAACUUCUCUACCAAUAUAGCUGACGUGUUUUGGGUUCUAGCAUGGUUGUUCUUUUCGUUGUAAAGGAUCAUAGUGUAAUCUUGGUUCUGAACCUUUGUUGAAUUAAUAAUACAAAAAAAGAUUUUGUAACCAUGUUCAUUGUGACCUCGGUCAAUGUCUAAAGAUUUUGGUUGUCUGUGAUUUGCAAUUGGCAAUGCAGGAGGAGCACAGGUGGAAUUAAAAAAAUCUGAGGACUAUGCAAAAGUUUAGAUCACAAAAUGGUGGAGGCAUGAAUGUCAUAGUAGACCGACAUAAUCAUUUAGCACGAGACGCAUUCAAGGUGAAAUGUUUUAUCAAAUUUCUCUUUGAUGUCUUUUUAGUCUUUCCAAUGAUUGUAUCACUAAUUGUUUAUAUUCCCUUUUGACAUCCUAAAUUGUUAAAGUGAAGUCAACCAGUCAGCUCUAUGUCCAUACACUUGGCCUCCUAUGUGAUUUCGUUUCUCUCCCAUUUAGACUGUUCUAUGGUUCCCACAGUGCAAUGGAGGGAAUGUAUAUACAAGAACUGAAAUUUUAGUUGAUUCCUUUGUUUUAUUCAUCCUCAUCUAUGGCUUCUCACCUUUAGACAUGUUAUUUUUAUUUGAAGUCUGCAAUUAUUAGAGCUUGAAGUAGAUUGAGACUUUUGCAGGAAGGUUACUAUCUUCAUGUUGCCAAAUAUUAGUAUAUUGGGAUACAUGCCUCUGAAGAUUGUCCCUAAUUGUAAAUUUUGCGGUGCAAAAAAGGUUUGAAUAUGAGUUACCUGGAUUUUCUUGCGGCAAGGGUUCAAUCAAGUUAGUUUCUGAUCUGGUAACUGCUGAACUACACAAUCUAUAUAUAGGCUGCACUGAAGAAUCUGAACAUUUUCGCACAUACAGGACAUAUAAUAAUCUGUUUGCAUUUACAUCGGUUGCUGUGAAUUACGAUAAAGAAUUGGCAAAAAGGAACCAUGGUAUUUAUACUUUUAGAGUUCAAGGUCAGAUGUAUCAUUUUAUAAAUGACUUUCCUGUUUGGAUUGGCUUAUUUUAUGUGCUUUUAAGCCAAAAUAGUUUUUAAUUACUUUUGUAGUGUUUGGGUAAAAUAAAAAAAAUGCUUUUAGGCACUUAUUUUUAAGCCAAAAUGACAAAGAUAAGUCAAAAGUCUUCUAACGUAUGGCUUUUGGCUGAUAGGUUAAAAGCCAUAAGUCAAUCCAAACGGGCUCUUACUCCCUCCUGAUCAAAUAGCAAGAAGCCUACAGCUAUACUUACGAUUAUACGGCUACAAAAUUAUUUACGUAACAAAAAUAGUAACAACUGCUCCACAGCUAUAUUGUAUCCCUUCCUGUGCACCAAUUUACAGCUUAAUAACUAACUAUUUUGUUUAAACAGAUUGGAGAACAAAAGCUGAGCGCGACAAUGCUCACCCAGAUGGUGUCGCAUGUAUAGCUGCAUUUUGCUAAGCCACACUAAUCAUUUUACCAGUAAUGCUUGAUAGAAGCUUUGGCGCUUGAUAAAAGCUUCCAGACCCCACGUUGUGGGGUUCCACUAGGUAUGUUGUUGUUGUUGUUGUAAGCUAGAACGGUGCCACAACAUUGGGCCUGUGCUAUAAUUUUAUAAGGGACAUUACAAUGUAAAAAUAAGAAGGAAAAUUAUAUGCUUGGGUCUUAUAGGAAAAUUAUAUGCUUGGGUCUUACUUUUA